GGUAAAAUGGCCGAGUUUAAGCAGUAAACUGUAAAUUUACUAACGAAAUAAUUAUUUCUUUUACCA
rnacentral:tRNA from 4 species